rnacentral:rRNA from 1 species
ACGAACGCUGGCGGCGUGCUUAACACAUGCAAGUCGAACGGAAAGGCCCUGCUUUUGUGGGGUGCUCGAGUGGCGAACGGGUGAGUAACACGUGAGUAACCUGCCCUUGACUUUGGGAUAACUUCAGGAAACUGGGGCUAUACCGGAUAGGAGCUCCUGCUGCAUGGUGGGGGUUGGAAAGUUUCGGCGGUUGGGGAUGGACUCGCGGCUUAUCAGCUUGUUGGUGGGGUAGUGGCUUACCAAGGCUUUGACGGGUAGCCGGCCUGAGAGGGUGACCGGCCACAUUGGGACUGAGAUACGGCCCAGACUCCUACGGGAGGCAGCAGUGGGGAAUAUUGCACAAUGGGCGGAAGCCUGAUGCAGCAACGCCGCGUGCGGGAUGACGGCCUUCGGGUUGUAAACCGCUUUCGCCUGUGACGAAGCGUGAGUGACGGUAAUGGGUAAAGAAGCACCGGCUAACUACGUG